rnacentral:rRNA from 1 species
UACGUAGGGUGCAAGCGUUGUCCGGAAUUAUUGGGCGUAAAGAGCUCGUAGGCGGUUUGUCGCGUCUGCUGUGAAAUCCCAGGGCUUAACCCUGGGCCUGCAGUGGGUACGGGCAAACUAGAGUGCGGUAGGGGAGAUCGGAAUUCCUGGUGUAGCGGUGAAGUGCGCAGAUAUCAGGAGGAACACCGGUGGCGAAGGCGGAUCUCUGGGCCGUAACUGACGCUGAGGAGCGAAAGCAUGGGUAGCGAACAGG